AAUGAACGCUGGCGGUAGGCCUAACACAUGCAAGUCGAACGGAUCCUUCGGGAUUAGUGGCGGACGGGUGAGUAACGCGUGGGAACAUACCCUUUGUUACGGAAUAGCCUCGGGAAACUGGGAGUAAUACCGUAUGUGGUCGAGAUACGAAAGAUUUAUCGCCAAAGGAUUGGCCCGCGUUUGAUUAGGUAGUUGGUGGGGUAAUGGCCUACCAAGCCGACGAGCCAUAGCUGGUUUGAGAGGAUGAUAAGCCACACUGGGACUGAGACACGGCCCAGACUCCUACGGGACGCAGCAGUGUGGAAUCUUGGACAAUGGUGGAAACCCGGAUCUAGCCAUGCCGCGUGAUGGAUGAAGGCCUUAGUGUUGUAAAGAUCUUUCAGGUGGGAAGAUAAUGACUGUACCACCAGUAGAAGCCCCGGCUAACUCCGUGCCAGCAGCCGCGGUAA
rnacentral:rRNA from 1 species